rnacentral:precursor_RNA from 1 species
UCUGAUCCGACGGCCAAGAUUUGCCCCUGAGUUCUAUAUAAACCCACCAACCCCUAAGCAAUCGUUGUACUCAGAACUCAUGCGUUCCUAGGCUAGGUAGAAACUCAUAAUAGCACACAAGGAUUUUGAUUUAGCAAGCUGUGUCACCUUUUCUGUUCAUAUACUUUUGUCUGUUUUUGUUGUGUUUGAUACAUAGGUUGAAGAAAGAUGGAUAUCUUGCUGUGAUGUGAGGAGGAGCUCCUUUCGAUCCAAUUCAGGAGAGGAAGUGGUGGGAUGCAGCUGCCGGUUCAUGGAUACCUCUGCAGUUCAUGCCGGUAGGCCUGCACUUGCAUGGGUUUGCAUGACCUGGGAGAUGAACCUGCCAUUGUGUUCCUCUAUUGAUUGGAUUGAAGGGAGCUCCGGCUACACCUAUCUCUCUCACACACAUAUUAUCAUCAUGGUAUGUAUAUUAUAAGUUUGCAGCUUGUUCUCAAUUAAUUUUGGGUUUUCAUCACUGCAGAAGUAAAUGGUGACAGGAGUGCAGAAGAUGAGAAGAAGAGAUAUUGUCGGAGGACCGGAACCGGAGACAGAUUGAUCAGAUUAAGUAGCAAAUUAGACUAUUGUGUAUACUGUAUUGUUUCUUUUUCUUUCUUCAUCCGUGUC